rnacentral:rRNA from 1 species
GUGCCAGCAGCCGCGGUAAUACGGAAGGUCCGGGCGUUAUCCGGAUUUAUUGGGUUUAAAGGGAGCGCAGGCUGAUGAUUAAGCGUGACGUGAAAUGUAGCCGCUCAACGGCUGAACUGCGUCGCGAACUGGUUAUCUUGAGUGAGUUCGAUGUUGGCGGAAUUCGUGGCGUAGCGGUGAAAUGCUUAGAUAUCACGAAGAACUCCGAUUGCGAAGGCAGCCAACAAGGCCUUUACUGACGCUAAAGCUCGAAGGUGCGGGUAUCGAACAGGAUUAGAUACCCUGGUAGUCCGCACGGUAAACGAUGGAUGCCCGCUGUUUGCGAUAUACUGUGAGCGGCCAAGAGAAAUCGUUAAGCAUCCCACCUGGGGAGUACGCCGGCAACGGUGAAACUCAAAGGAAUUGACGGGGGCCCGCACAAGCGGAGGAACAUGUGGUUUAAUUCGAUGAUACGCGAGGAACCUUACCCGGGCUUGAACUGCAGCGGAAGGAUACAGAGAUGUUGACGCCCUUCGGGGCCGCUGUGGAGGUGCUGCAUGGUUGUCGUCAGCUCGUGCCGUGAGGUGUCGGCUUAAGUGCCAUAACGAGCGCAACCCUUUUCAUUAGUUGCCAUCAGGUAAUGCUGGGCACUCUGGUGAUACUGCCACCGUAAGGUGUGAGGAAGGUGGGGAUGACGUCAAAUCAGCACGGCCCUUACGUCCGGGGCUACACACGUGUUACAAUGGGAGGUACAGAGAGUCGGAUAUACGCAAGUAUGUUCUAAUCCUUAAAGCCUUCCUCAGUUCGGAUUGGGGUCUGCAACCCGACCCCAUGAAGCUGGAUUCGCUAGUAAUCGCGCAUCAGCCAUGGCGCGGUGAAUACGUUCCCGGGCCUUGUACACACCGCCCGU